rnacentral:rRNA from 1 species
GACGAACGCUGGCGGCGUGCCUAAUACAUGCAAGUAGAACGCUGAAGGAGGAGCUUGCUUCUCUGGAUGAGUUGCGAACGGGUGAGUAACGCGUAGGUAACCUGCCUGGUAGCGGGGGAUAACUCUUGGAAACGAUAGCUAAUACCGCAUAAGAGUAGAUGUUGCAUGACAUUUGCUUAAAAGGUGCAAUUUCAUCACUACCAGAUGGACCUGCGUUGUAUUAGCUGGUUGGUGGGGUAACGGCUCACCAAGGCGACGAUACAUCGCCGACCUGAGAGGGUGAUCGGCCACACUGGGACUGAGACACGGCCCAGACUCCUACGGGAGGCAGCAGGAGGGAAACUUCGGCAAUGGACGGAAGUCUGAACGAGCAACGCCGCGUGAGGGAAGAAGGGUUUCGGAUCGUAAAGAUCUGUUGUAAGAGAAGAACGAGUGUGAGAGUGGAAAGUUCACACUGUGACGGUAUCUGACCAGAAAGGGACGGCUAACUACGUG